GAAAAAAGAAAGAAAACAACGUUUCGGCCGUGGAGCCUUCUUCAGGUUAUGAUGAACGCCUCUCCAGCAGGACCUGCGGACCGCGCCUGGAGGGGACCAGCCUGCGUCAGUGGGGAGCCCUGCCGGAGUUCUCGGGGUACCGAGGGACAAGCGGGUGGUGGUGAGGAAGGAUUGAUCCCGGGUUUCGGAUGCGCUGACACCCCUGACACCGCCCACCCUCUGUCCCGCUGAUGACGUUCACACUGGCCGCCUGUCCUGUUUCCCUCAUUGGACCUGGCCUCUGGGCUGUCGUGUUGCGACACCUGAAUGUGUAUACCCUCGUCUGUCGCAUUUCGUUUAUUUGUAUCUAAAAAUAAAUUAAAACAGAAAAAAAAACAGGGACCAGUU